GCCAUUUGCGACUAAAAACCGAUUUUGGCAACCAAAAAUGACAAAAAACACGCUGGUUAGGGGCCCAAAUAUUUUGAGUUGGACUACUGACCUCCAAAUCCAAGUUUCAGGGAUGGCAAUUUUCCGCGGAUCCGCGGCUUUCCACCGAUUUAAUUUCAAAUUUGAACACUUUAUUGUCACUGAUGUUAACGUCGUUAACAUCUCGCGGGAGUCCGCGAGACUCCGUCGGAUCCAGAACCAGCCCAGAAUGUGGUGGCGGCAUCCGGAGGACAGCACCAACUGAGCCUGAGCACCGCGAACGGAAAGCACCAAGCCACCGGAGCUGUCAUUUUUUCAACUCGGCGGGUCCGCCGGCUGCUCUCCCCGGUCACAGACUGCUCAGACUCCCCGGCUGGCUAGCUAUCCCCUGCUAGCUGCUCGGCUAACACCUGCCGCUCCUCGCCGCUCAUCUGCCCGGGACAAACCGCACCUGUUCCGGCUGUCAACGUCCCCAGUCGCCCGCUAGGAGCUCCGGACAAUGCGCUGCUCAUUCGAUUGUGACACUGAUGAGACGUGGGCAAAAGUAUCUGUCAGGGUGCUGAUUGUUGUCAGUGAAGAUGAGCAAGUCGUUCCAAAUCAGCUCCACCUUCACCCAAUAUCUACUGCCAUCAUUGUUGAGGGAGGUAUUGUAAUGGACAAUGUCCAGAACCUGCCUGAGGCACUUUGCCUUUUGUUUGGAUUGUCAUACGCUUUACAUUUAGACUACUCAAAGGCCAUGAAAAACACUUUGGGCUUCAUUCAAAGAGUAAUGCUUGGCCUGGGAGAGAGCAAACUCCCACCAAAAUUGCAAAGUCUUAAAAAUCUCUUGUUGAGUUAGAAUGCAAAUGCACGAGUGGAUUCAGUUGUUUCUUAUUGUUCACUGUAUUAAAGUCAGCCCACGGGUUCAUCAGCAAGUUAGAGGCUGUAGAUGUUCGUACAUUCAUUCACACAGGUGAGAUUGCCAGUCAUUACCCUCUCAGGUUUUUGUGUUAAAUACAGUGUUAUAAAGAGAAGAAAAAGUUGAUGUAAAUGGAAGAAAAACAAAAGACAAUUUCUGUUUGAACUUUCAGCAGUUAUUACCUUGAUUUAUUAUGUUUAAUUGUAAUUCGGAUUAUUUUAAGAAAUUGGAGCCUGUUUUUCAUUUCUUUAUGGAUAUUUUUGAACCACUUAAAUUGCUGAAGUUCAGUUUGCAUGGUUUUAGAAAAUAAGUCAGAUUGCUGUCCAAGUAAAUAUAUAACUUAGAAAUGCUAAGUUAGUUCAACUUAGAUAAGUAUGUUAAAUGAACUGAACAGUGUAAAUUUAACAUGCAAUUAUUUAGUAGAUUGAAAUAUUAAUUCUGAGUAGUCUUUACUAAGUCAAGCGUGUUCUAAAAUGAGUUAUCAAGUACAGUCUACUUGAUUGUUUUAGUUGCUUAAACUCAUUUGUAAGUGUACUCUACAAAGGAAGUGCUAGUUAGUACAACUAAAUUUAACUCGUUCUCUUUACUUGUUUUUUUUUUUAAGUGCAACCGGUUUGCAUGCUUUUUUUAAGUAAUGAUAACUAAUUGGAUUUUACAGUGUAACAGGGUUAUUUAGUAUGCACUGCCAACAGUUUCUUUGGCCUGGUGUUACAGAAACAUCAAACUAGAAAGAAAUUUUUGUCCCUUGCAGUGAAUGGAAGUGUGAUAAAGUACUUAUGUAUAAAGAUCAAUAUUAGGGGGGUUUGCAUGUUUCAGUCAAUUGUGUAACAAAUUGCAUGAGACUUAGAUUACCAACAUUUUGGCGUUAUGAUGCUUGAUUGUAUUUUUCUAAUACACUGUGAUACUUACAAAUCUGUGCAUGUCUUUUCAGUGUGUUUCAGGGAGUGGCUGAAAAAACAGAAUGUGGAACAAGCAGAAUUGGAAGCCAGGGUGGGAAAGGCUGGAUGUUGCAUCUCCGAAAAAAUCAUGGACAUUAAUAGACAAAACAAAAAGGCCACUUAA